rnacentral:tRNA from 1 species
GCGUGGGUGGUCUAGCGGUUAUGACAUGAGCUUGCCAAGCUCAUAAUGCGGGUUCGAUUCCCGCCCCACGCA